AACGAACGCUGGCGGCGUGCCUAACACAUGCAAGUCGAGCGCGAAAGUUCCUUCGGGGGCAAGUAGAGCGGCGGACGGGUGAGUAAUGCCUAGGAAUCUGCCUGGUAGUGGGGGAUAACGUUCGGAAACGGACGCUAAUACCGCAUACGUCCUACGGGAGAAAGCAGGGGACCUUCGGGCCUUGUGCUAUCAGAUGAGCCUAGGUCGGAUUAGCUAGUUGGUGAGGUAAUGGCUCACCAAGGCGACGAUCCGUAACUGGUCUGAGAGGAUGAUCAGUCACACUGGAACUGAGACACGGUCCAGACUCCUACGGGUGGCAG
rnacentral:rRNA from 1 species